AAAAAAAGUCACUAAACUUGAUAAGAAAGCAAUUAAAAAACUUUACUAAAAUUUGAAGCUACAAAACGUCAUGGUGAUAUCAUUCACUACAGUUGGAUAUUAGAUUGCUGCUCACAAAAGAAGCUUGUCCCCUUACAGCCAAAGUACUUCCUCUUCCUAUCUGAAGUAACAAGGAAGAAGUUACAAGAAGAAAUUGACGAGUUCUCUGACUCUUACUACAUGUAUAUUGAUCUUGGAGAGUUCAAACAGAUUCUCCUUACAAGAUGGAGCAAGAAACAAAGAUGUUGGAACAAGUUCCUGGGAUGAAACUCACACAAGAGACCAAGAAACUAAGGCAGGCUUAUUUUAAAGUUAAUUACAAAA